rnacentral:rRNA from 1 species
UACGGAGGGUGCAAGCGUUAUCCGGAAUCACUGGGCGUAAAGGGCGUGUAGGCGGGAUGCUAAGUCUGGCUUUGAAGACCGGGGCUCAACUCCGGGAGUGCGCUGGAGACUGGCAUUCUGGAACUCUGGAGAGGGAAGUGGAAUUCCUGGUGUAGCGGUGGAAUGCGUAGAUACCAGGAGGAACACCAACGGCGAAGGCAGGUUCUUGGAGAGAAGGUGACGCUGAGGCGCGAAAGUGUGGGGAGCGAACCGG